rnacentral:lncRNA from 1 species
CACGGCAGACAGGUCCUGCAUGGCUCCUUGAAGGUCAAACCUAGCCAUGGCCCAGAAGGGAGGCAGUGAAUGUGGACAACAGCAGCCGCUGUGUUUUGACUACAGUGUGGGGAAACAUUUAACUAAGGAAGCAGAAAACAAGAAACAACACCCUCAUCUCCCAAGGCAAUAAAAUCAUCAUCAAUUCACCGGGACGAAUAUGGGUAAGAUUCCAGCACAUUCCAUCAAAAGAACUCCAGAGAACCCCAUACCCAUGGCGAAAGGGCAAGACUUCAGGCCUUAGG